ACGAGAGUCAUCUGUGACAGG
rnacentral:miRNA from 2 species